rnacentral:rRNA from 1 species
UACGUAGGGUGCAAGCGUUGUCCGGAAUUAUUGGGCGUAAAGAGCUCGUAGGCGGUCUGUCACGUCGGCUGUGAAAACCCGAGGCUCAACCUCGGGCCUGCAGUCGAUACGGGCAAACUAGAGUACUGCAGGGGAGACUGGAACUCCUGGUGUAGCGGUGAAAUGCGCAGAUAUCAGGAGGAACACCGGUGGCGAAGGCGGGUCUCUGGGCCGAUACUGACGCUGAGGAGCGAAAGCGUGGGGAGCAAACAGG